UGCAGCCGACAACAGUUAAAAAGAAGGCCCAACUUUCGGCCCAAGGGAAAAUAAAAUAAAGGCCCAAUUGAAUUUCUCUCUCUCUUCCAAUCUCAAAUCAGUCGAGUUCCUCCCUCUCUCUUAUAUCAGUCGAAAAUUUCUUCCCCAAAACAGUCGGCCUCUCUCAACAUCAGUCGAGGCUUCAGUCGCCUUCUCUGCUCCGAUCGGCGUCGGCUGCCGCCGAGCUUAGGUCCGGCGUGGCCGCAUCUCUCUCCGGCCAUUCGAGCUGUCAGCGUCGUCUCGCCCUCUCCUCCGACAGAGCCCAAAAUCGUGCCCUAGACUUCUGGAAAUCGUCGCCGCUACUCCUUCGUUCUGAAUCCGGCGAGCGGUCGUCGGUUGGGAGCGACGCCGUCCAACUCCCGUCCUCAGAUUCCUCUUCGACGUCGAGCCUUAACUCACUAAAAUAAGACGCGACCUAUCAGCCCCUUUUCUCGCCUGAAAUCGCCGGCGACACUGCCGUAUUCUGGUCUCGCCCGUCGCACCGUUGCGUCCGAAAUUGCCUCUGUUGUCGUCUCUCAAAAUCAGGGGAGGUCGCCCCAAGAUUUGAGCCCUAAUCCUCUUUCUCUGUCCGUCGAGCUCCGGCAAGCAGCUGGGUCCUGCCCCAUCGGGCCAUCGUCUGUGAGUUGCCGGUUAGCGCGUCGUGGUCGCCCUGUUAUUCAGCGAAGGUCUGGGCGUCGUCGUGUCGGUCCUGGUGUCCGGCAGUCCGCCACCACUCAACCUAAAGCUAAGUUUCAAAUCUCCGUCUCCUUUCUUUUCGUUGCGUGAUUGAGUUUCGAUAUGAGUAUAGAUUUCCUCGAGUAAGAAUCUAGUACUUAGCAUUCUAUGUGUGUGAGCAUGCUGUAGCAAGCCUAUAUUCGAUUCAUGAGCUAAGGUGUUCUCUUUCUUUUUGUCUGUGGAGUCUGAUUUCAUAUGCAUAAACUGAUCAUGCUUGAGUAUGUAUGCGUACUGGAAUGGGUUUUUGAUAUAGAAUUAAUACCUUGUGAAUGACUGUUGGUUGGUGAUUUGUUGUUGAGUUAAAAGAACUGGAAUGACUGAAAUGAAAGAUCAAACUUGUUUCUUUCAAUAACUGUAAGUUGUAAUUAGAAGGAGAUGAUGAAUCAAUACUAAUUUUUUUACCUUAAAGUUUCUGGCGAGAAGUGAACGAGUGAUUUAUUUUGCUUUUCGGAUUUGACGUCUUGAAUGACUGGAACUGAAAUAAUGUAACAGUUGUUUCUUCAAUAAAUGCAGGUAGAGUUACGGAGAAGAUGGAGGAAUUGUAGCCAAAGCUUACCUUGAAGUGGCAGAGCACUGGAUUGAGGUCUCUGCUCUCCCAAAGUUUCCAAGUGUGAAAAAGAAGAGAGUGGUGAAUUGGGACUGAGGCGUGAGAUUAAAGGAGAAGCUGUUGCUACACACUUGAGUGUGCUAGUGUAAGCUGCAGAGAUAGGGUGGCUGGAGUGUGGGCUGGAUUAGAUGGGGCUGACAUGGAGAAGGUUGAAAGACCUUCCCUGCUGUACCUUGCAGCAGGAGGUGUCAAAGAAGUGAUGGAGUAGGUGUUGUAGGGGAAAGGGUGCAGCAGUGGCUGCUCUUGCAGCCCACGCUUUCUUCCCCUCUUCUUUUCUUUCUUUAUGCAAAAGCCAAAUUAUUGCAUAGUUAGGAAGAUAGGAACGAAAAUUGGUUGUGAGUAAGAGUUUGUAAAGUUUGAAAGAAAUGAGAUGGUGGUGAAUAAAUGAAGUAUAUACUUAUGUCCUGGUGAUUCUGUAACUGUAAUAUGAAUCUAAAUUAAAUCAAUAGAUUUAAUUCAUUCGUCG
rnacentral:lncRNA from 1 species